rnacentral:rRNA from 1 species
GAUGAACGCUGGCGGCGUGCCUAAUACAUGCAAGUCGAGCGAACAGACGAGGAGCUUGCUCCUCUGACGUUAGCGGCGGACGGGUGAGUAACACGUGGAUAACCUACCUAUAAGACUGGGAUAACUUCGGGAAACCGGAGCUAAUACCGGAUAAUAUAUUGAACCGCAUGGUUCAAUAGUGAAAGACGGUUUUGCUGUCACUUAUAGAUGGAUCCGCGCCGCAUUAGCUAGUUGGUAAGGUAACGGCUUACCAAGGCGACGAUGCGUAGCCGACCUGAGAGGGUGAUCGGCCACACUGGAACUGAGACACGGUCCAGACUCCUACGGGAGGCAGCAGUAGGGAAUCUUCCGCAAUGGGCGAAAGCCUGACGGAGCAACGCCGCGUGAGCGAUGAAGGUCUUCGGAUCGUAAAACUCUGUUAUUAGGGAAGAACAAAUGUGUAAGUAACUAUGCACGUCUUGACGGUACCUAAUCAGAAAGCCACGGCUAACUACGU